CCGGAUCUUCGAGAAACUCAGAGCAGCUGAAACCUCCCGUUCCCCAAGCAGUUCUGUGGGAGGAGAGGAACGAAGCAGAACGGAUACAGGCUCCAGAGACCCCAUGUUCAUCUGUCUCCUGACUGACUAGCUCUACUGUAGUUUACAAGAUUUUUUUUAAGAACAGAAAGGGAAAGGAGACAGAACUGUACGUGGCAAAGCACCUCCACAGCCAACAGUGCUCCUGAGGCCACCUCCUAUGGAUUCCAUACAGCCACCCACCCCCAGUGCACCAGGCCCUCCCCAGGCAGAGCACCCAUCCCGCAGGUGGCCACGUGCAGGAGCUGGGGAGGCCCGGCAAGCACAGAGCCCACAGAGUGCACCACUUGCCUGUGACUGAACAGGUACCAGAAUAUUCAUCAGCGAGAGCCUGGCACUUCCCUGGCUGCCCUGGGAGCUGGAGGAGCGUGGUGGGAGGUGAGAAGAUGGCUGCUGCAGGCCUCGGGACACCGAGCACGGCACGCACAAUGCAGCCU